rnacentral:tRNA from 1 species
GUUUUAAUAAUUUAAUAAAAAUAUUAGUUUUGUAAACUAAAAAUAGGGAUGCCUUUAAAACU